GCGGAAGUUCAGAGCUGCAGGGUUGGGGGAGUUGGGACCUGCCGGGGGUUUCCUUGUGGUGGGAGGACCAGAUGGCCAGGCUGUUCAAGGUUAGGGCUGGGGGCGCUCGGAAACCUGGGGGAUUUACAAUGGGCUUUGGCAAAGUGGCAAUUUACAGCGGGCUUUGUAUUUUAGAGAGCGGAAGUGGAGGGGCUUAGAAUGAUCUUUUGGCUCGUGGAAAGUGGGCAGGUGAGGAGGAGCCCUUGCGAAUAAUAGGAGCAAGCACUUGGAGUGCUUUUGUGUGCGUGUGCCAAAAUGAUUCCUUAAGUGCAUGACACAUAUGAAUGGUUACAAUCUCCCCAUGAGGCAAGUACUAUUUUCCUCUCCGUUUUUACAGGUGAGGAAACGGCACAGAGCGUUCAAAUAACUUGCCCAAGAUCACAGCAAGUAAUGGAGUUAGGAUUUGAACCUGCGUUGCGUGGUUCCAGAUUCCUCGCCCUUAAUCUCUAUAAUGCUAAAACAGGGGACAGAGUUAGUGAGGAUAUGCACAGAACUCCAGAUGCCUGAGGCAACAGGGAAAGAAGGAAGAUAUUCACCGAGUAGCAUGGCACGGAAGUCUCACAGUAACUCUGGAGCUACACAGCUCGUCAACACUCCCUCACACUCCACCCCACCCCCUGAAAAGAAGGAAAAAGAACAAAUUGAGAACGUCAAAAUGAGUGUCACGAAGAGGGUUGAGAACCCGAAGAUAGAGUAUGCCUGCUGAUCCAAGAACAACAGACAACUGGCUCAGGCUGUGAUUAAAGUUGGUUGGAAUUCACAGCCGCAGAACAAUGACCACAUUCAUGAACUGAACUUCUGCUUACUCUCCUAUUCCAAAGUUCUUCAUCUUCCUUCCACAUGGACAGCCAGCUGUGCUGAGAGAUUUGUGUGUUAGCACCUGGAAGUGUUGGAUGGACUUGAUUACUGUGUAAUAAAAUCUAACAUGAAUGACUUGAAAGUAUAGUU
rnacentral:lncRNA from 1 species